ACACUCUCUCAACUUCUUUCUCUCACUUGAUCUUCAAACCACCAUAACUUUUGAUCUAGAGCUCCGAUUGCCGCUCCGUUUGCGGCCACGCGUUCACCGCGAAGAGCUCUACAAAACCCAUACAAUUAAUCUUGAGGACCCAACUCUCUUGAAGGAGAAGGUUAAUCUUGUCUCCUUGGACCUUGGAUGUGGUUGUGUGUGUGUGGAUAUUGGAGCUUGAUUGGUGAUUUUGAAAAGCUUGGAAAGGGUUUGGUGGUGAAAA